rnacentral:rRNA from 1 species
UACGGGGGGGGCAAGCGUUGUUCGGAUUUACUGGGCGUAAAGGGCGCGUAGGCGGCCACCGCAAGUCGACUGUGAAAUCUCCGGGCUUAACCCGGAAAGGUCAGCCGAUACUGCGGGGCUAGAGUGCAGAAGGGGCAACUGGAAUUCUCGGUGUAGCGGUGAAAUGCGUAGAUAUCGAGAGGAACACCUGCGGCGAAGGCGGGUUGCUGGGCUGACACUGACGCUGAAGCGCGAAAGCUAGGGGAGCGAACGGG